rnacentral:misc_RNA from 1 species
GCCCUGUAUUGCUAGUUUGUUUCCAAGACAACAACAUUCACCCAUUUCAAGUAACUUCUACAACAAUACCAUUAAAUCAAUCACCCCAAAAUUAUGAAGGAUGGCGUGACAUUAUUUGUCAAUUUACAAGAUGAUGCAGCUUCCUGGAUCCUUUUUAACAUCUUCGUAAUUGCCCAAAGCUUGCUCAAAUUUAAGCCAAAAUGGACCAGUCUCCUGAAGAUUCACAUUCUUUGGCCCAGCAAGGUAAGCCUGAACAACAAACUGUGGAGUCCUUUCCCUCCCUUCAUAUUCCGAUAAAUAAGCCAGAUAGGCUGCGCCAAAGUACAUGGACACAAACGGCUUCGUCAUAUCAUCAACAGAGUCAACUUUAUAAGCUCUAUAUCCCAACUCCAUGUAAAGCCAGAAAGCUGCAGAGUAGUCGAUUCCCAUUAAUCCACUUCGUGG